UGGAAGUAAAAAAUCGUAACAAGGUCUCCGUUGGUGAACCAGCGGAGGGAUCAUUACUGAGUUUACGCUCUACAACCCUUUGUGAACAUACCUAUAACUGUUGCUUCGGCGGGUAGGGUCUCCGUGACCCUCCCGGCCUCCCGCCCCCGGGCGGGUCGGCGCCCGCCGGAGGAUAACCAAACUCUGAUUUAACGACGUUUCUUCUGAGUGGUACAAGCAAAUAAUCAAAACUUUUAACAACGGAUCUCUUGGUUCUGGCAUCGAUGAAGAACGCAGCGAAAUGCGAUAAGUAAUGUGAAUUGCAGAAUUCAGUGAAUCAUCGAAUCUUUGAACGCACAUUGCGCCCGCCAGCAUUCUGGCGGGCAUGCCUGUUCGAGCGUCAUUUCAACCCUCAAGCUCUGCUUGGUGUUGGGGCCCUACAGCUGAUGUAGGCCCUCAAAGGUAGUGGCGGACCCUCCCGGAGCCUCCUUUGCGUAGUAACUUUACGUCUCGCACUGGGAUCCGGAGGGACUCUUGCCGUAAAACCCCCAAUUUUCCAAAGGUUGACCU
rnacentral:rRNA from 1 species